UGGGGAAUAUUGGACAAUGGGCGCAAGCCUGAUCCAGCCAUGCCGCGUGAGUGAUGAAGGCCUUAGGGUUGUAAAGCUCUUUCGGUGGGGAAGAUAAUGACGGUACCCACAGAAGAAGCCCCGGCUAACUUCGUGCCAGCAGCCGCGGUAAUACGAAGGGGGCUAGCGUUGUUCGGAAUUACUGGGCGUAAAGCGCGCGUAGGCGGACUGACAAGUCGGGGGUGAAAGCCUGAGGCUCAACCUCAGAAUUGCCUUCGAUACUGUCAGUCUUGAGGUCGGGAGAGGUGAGUGGAACUGCGAGUGUAGAGGUGAAAUUCGUAGAUAUUCGCAAGAACACCAGUGGCGAAGGCGGCUCACUGGCCCGAAUCUGACGCUGAGGCGCGAAAGCGUGGGGAGCAAACAGGAUUAGAUACCCUGGUAGUCCACGCCGUAAACGAUGGAUGCUAGCCGUCGGCAGGCUUGCCUGUCGGUGGCGCAGCUAACGCUUUAAGCAUCCCGCC
rnacentral:rRNA from 1 species